UACGGAGGGUGCGAGCGUUGUCCGGAAUCACUGGGCGUAAAGGGCGCGUAGGCGGCCUGAUAAGUAGGGGGUGAAAUCCUGCGGCUUAACCGCAGGGCUGCCUUCUAAACUGUCAGGCUGGAGCACAGUAGAGGCAGGUGGAAUUCCCGGUGUAGCGGUGGAAUGCGUAGAGAUCGGGAAGAACAUCAGUGGCGAAGGCGGGUCUCUGGGCCGAAACUGACGCUGAGGAGCGAAAGCGUGGGGAGCAAACAGG
rnacentral:rRNA from 1 species